rnacentral:rRNA from 1 species
GAUGAACGCUGGCGGUGUGCCUAAUACAUGCAAGUCGAGCGAAUGGAUUAAGAGCUUGCUCUUAUGAAGUUAGCGGCGGACGGGUGAGUAACACGUGGGUAACCUGCCCAUAAGACUGGGAUAACUCCGGGAAACCGGGGCUAAUACCGGAUAACAUUUUGAACCGCAUGGUUCGAAAUUGAAAGGCGGCUUCGGCUGUCACUUAUGGAUGGACCCGCGUCGCAUUAGCUAGUUGGUGAGGUAACGGCUCACCAAGGCAACGAUGCGUAGCCGACCUGAGAGGGUGGUCGGCCAAACUGGGACUGAGACACGGCCCAGACUCCUACGGGAGGCAGCAGUAGGGAAUCUUCCGCAAUGGACGAAAGUCUGACGGAGCAACGCCGCGUGAGUGAUGAAGGCUUUCGGGUCGUAAAACUCUGUUGUUAGGGAAGAACAAGUGCUAGUUGAAUAAGCUGACACCUUGACGGUACCUAACCAGAAAGCCACGGCUAACUACGUGCCAGCCGCCGCUGUAA